GGUAGCCGGCCUCAGAGGGUGUUCGCCCACCCUGGGACUGAGAGACGGGCCAGUCUCCUACGGGAGGCACCAGUGGGGAAUAUUGCACAAUGGGCGAAAGCCUGAUGCAGCAACGCCGCGUGAGGGAUGCCGCCCUUCGGGUUGUAAACCUCUUUUAGCAGGGAAGAAGCGAAAGUGACGGUACCUCAGAAAAAGCGCCGGCUAAUCUACGUGCCAGCAGCCGCGGUAAUACGUAGGGCGCAAGCGUUAUCCGGAAUUAUUGGGCGUAAAGAGCUCGUAGGCGGUUUGUCUGAGUCUGCUGUGAAAACCCGAGGCUCAACCUCUGGGCCUGCAGUGGGUACGGGCAGACUAGAGUGCGGUAGGGGAGAUUGGAAUUCCUGGUGUAGCGGUGGAAUGCGCUAGAUAUCAGGAGGCACACACCGUAUGUCAAAAGUCAAGCUCUUGCUGCUAGCGCGUUAAGCAUAACCCUG
rnacentral:rRNA from 1 species